GACGAACGCUGGCGGCGUGCUUAACACAUGCAAGUCGAACGGAAAGGCCCUGCUCUUGUGGGGCUCUCGUGUGGCGCGCGGGUGUGUAACACGUGUGUAACACGCCCUUGUCUUUGGGAUAACUUCAGGAAAAUGGGUAUAAUACAGGAUAGGAUCUCUUGCUGCAUGGUGGGGGUUGGAAAGUUUCGGCGGUUGGGGAUGGUUUCGCGGCAUAUGAGCUAGUUGGUGGGGUAGUGGCUGACCAAGGCUUUGACGGGUAGCCGGCCUGAGAGGGUGACCGGCCACAUUGGGACUGAGAGACGGCCCAGACUCCUACGGGAGGCAGCAGUGGGGAAUAUUCCGCAAUGGGCGAAAGCCUGAGGCAGCAACGCCGCGUGCGGGAUGACGGCCUUCGGGUUGUAAACCGCUUUCGCCUGUGACGAAGCGUGAGUGACGGUAAUGGGUAAAGAAGCACCGGCUAACUACGUG
rnacentral:rRNA from 1 species